UGUCUCAUAUUACCCUGGUACUCGUUUUCUAAAAGGCAACGUCAUACGCCGCCCACGCAUUUCACACUGCAACCUCAACGCCAUGUGCGGCGAUGGCGGCGGCGGCGCCGACCCGAAUUACCACCAAUAUAACAUCCCGGCGUACUCGUUCGCUUGUUUUGUUCGUCAAUGAAAUGCCGCCGAAGAUUUAUUCACAUCGGACACGUUUUUGUGUGUUUUUCCGCUUCAUUAUUAUAAUGUACCACCACAGAAAUGCCCAAUUAUCUCCGUCAAACGCAAACAAGUCAUACACUAUCGCACAUGGAACAACCUCACGCCACCGCUCCGACUAAAGUUAAAUUAUACACUGUGAAUGUGUACAUGAUUUACGUCCUGUUGCGACGUCGGGAACACUAUGUGCCAGAUGAAGUUGUUUAACGUUGGAGGUGGUGAAGAAAUUUAGUUUAAAACUAACUAGUCGUUGAAAAGUACGGUUAAAUGUUUUUAACGAGCCCGCCGUUUUCAUUAUUCAUAUUUUUAACGCACGUAUGGGAUUAUGUACAGCGAAGGAGGUGUAAAAAGUAGUAUACUAUGGCCACCGUCGCAAUAGGUGAGGGGCAAAGAGAACGAACAGCGCCCACUCUGUCGAGUGAUAUAUUACAAUCAAACGCAGCGGGACAGCAAAAUACACCGGCCGAAAAUGAAAAAAAAUCCAAAAUAGAACUACCCGAUGCUGGCGUGCGCUUGACCAUGACCACUACUACAACCAAGGAGCACGACCUUUUCACCUUUGCCUGGAAAAACCCAUCAGUUACCAAAUUGACAUACUCAUGCAAUCACAAUAUUUGUUCUUUGAUUAUGGACAUUUAUUAUACACGUGAAAAUCGAGAAACGUACGAAGCAAACUGUAAAUCAAUUUUUAUUGCGGCCAUCGAUGUAUGCGUGUUCUGUAUAAUUAUUUUAUUUCAAAGUAUAAUAAUGAAAAUAAUCCAUGAUAGGAUUAAUGUUAUAGUUAAAACAAUAAGAGUUUUUGUAAUACCUACUAUGAAUUCAUCAAUAAAAAUAAAAUGGGGUAAAAUGGAAACACACGGAGUUAAAUUAAAAUCCAUAAAAACUUACGAUAAAUAACACUGGACAGCAAAAUUACAAAUGUCGGUGUUAGCAAUAUUUUAAUUGAUUCGAAUGUAUUUUUAUUGCUGAUUCCGAAUUUGGUCUUAGAUUUUUCGUAUUAGCUUUAGUUUUAAAAUAACUACUAAUUUUUUAAAAAAUCAGAAAAUGUAUAAUAAAAUUAUAACAAAAAAUAAAAACAUUUUUAUGUUUUUCUACCAAAGAAAUCUGAUUUUUAGUAUUUUAAACCCUAACGAAAAUUGAGAUAAAUACAUCAAAUUUAACCUGUAGGUUAUUAAAGUUGAAUUUUUUAAUUGAAUUUUAACAUACGACAUAAAUAAUCGUUAUAAUUUCUUUAAGUUUAAAAGUGCUUAAAUUGGGAAAAAAGUGGUAGAUGUACUCUAGAUACCUUUAAAAUAGUAACGUGCCAGCGUUACCCCACACUCCUUUUUGCAGUUCCCUAAGUAGCAUUAACAUAUAGAACAUAGAAGAAAUCAAAUGAGCAAAUAGAAAGUCGUUCAAUAAUACUAUUAUAGGUCGGUUGUUACUGGUUACCUAAAUUAAUGAAUAGUGAUAGAAGAUAAUGAAUAGUUAUCAUUGUUGAUUAAUUAUAAGUUAUCACGUAUUUGAUAUAAAAUAUUAAACAAUUUUUUAAGAUUAUAUUUAUUAUGAAAAUAAGUAAUCUUAAAGUAACAACCCGUUUCAUGCACUUCCUUAAAAAAAAAAUGUUAGGGUACGUCACAGUAGCUAAAAAUAUAGUUAAAGUACUUAGUCUUCUCGUGUCCCCCACCAAAUUAAGCACUAUGUUUCUAUUUGUCUCAUAAUCAUAAAUUUGAUAUGAAAUCAUAGGAAUUGCAGAAAGGAUUUCAAAAAUAUAGUUUUUAUGUUUGU